GCUCGUGUAACGCAGUGGUAGCGUGUUGCUCUUAUAUGUGUUUCAGCAAUGAAACUUGUAUGAUAGGAAAUGCAAAGGCCGUGAGUUCGAUCCUCACCUCGAGCA